rnacentral:lncRNA from 1 species
GAGUUUUGAGUAUUCUCUCUUGUUCUUUAUUCUCUUAGUCUCUCUUAAUCUCCUAAUCUCAUACAAACUACACAAAUCAUCUCUUGGUAUCAGAGCCAGGUUGCGCAAAGGGGAGAGGGUGUUUGAUUAUGAUUUUCGAAAUCUGAGUUUCUUGAGGUGUUCUUGGUGUUCUUGAUGUGUUCUUGGUGUUUUUUGGUGUGCCUGAGAUCGAAUUGAGUCUGUGGAGAGUUUCUGAUGGAUUCAAACGAGUUAAGCAUGGUGGAGGAGACAAGA